CCUUGAUAAAAAGAUUUGAUCUUUUUGUAUCUUACAGGACCCAGAUAUCAAGUGCUAGGCUGGUGGUAUAUUCCUGACAGUUGCAUUCAGAAAUCUAUAGGCUACCAGCAAAGAUUGAGACACAAGGAGAAAAUUCAGAGAAAAUGGGAAACAAAAUGGAAGCAAAGAUUUGAAAUGCUAACUUUGAUUCUUCCUCAGAGCUUUGUGCCUGGAAAAAAGAACAACACAUUAACUUAGGAGCCACUCUAAAAUCUGCACAACAUAGGUUGCACUUCCUUCAUAUGACUUGUCUGUGCCUGGAUCCUGCAGUGUGAUGAAGAACACCACCUACCCUGUGGCCAUCACCUUCUGGGAGCUUCUAGGGAGCCUGGAAAUGGAAUUUGAGGAGUCAAAUCCCACAAGAAAAGUUCUUUUUGAAGCACUUCCAAACCAAUCUGGAAAAAAAAAGAAACACAACUUCAGAGAAUUUAGGACAGCCUUUCAUAAACAUCAAAACAUUUUUGUUCUGUUUACUGACAAUUUACUGCAAGAGAUUUGACAUUAAAUCUUUAGCAGUAGUAUCUUAGGGAAAUACCAGCAUUAGAUUGUAUGUGAUGUCUUAGGCUUAGUGCAUGAGGAAACAAGAGUAAGCCCACAGAAGUACAUUUCUAUCUCAGGCAAUCUGCAACCUCAAUCUGUGAUCAAUUAAAAUAAAUGUGUAUCUGUUGGAUUUAUUAUUUGCA
rnacentral:lncRNA from 1 species